UAAAACGAACAAAAUAAACAAUUGAUAUGGAAUUCAAAAAGCUGUCAGGUGGCUAUGAUUUACAGAGUAUUGUUGCAGACUACUCAGUGGAAUCCUAGAUCUGUGAAAAUAGAAAUUUAAAUUAUUGGUAGAUUACAAUCUACAAGUUAAAAUUGACAAAAAGGUUUUUUCAUGUUCAGAUUGCCUGGGAAACACUAAAAAUGAAAAGUGGAAAAAUGAAAUGUUACAGCACCCUUCUCCUUACAAAGAAAAGUUUGAUCUUCGAAUUUUUCGGUCAAAAUGGAGGUUGAAAACGAUUAGCAAGGCACCUCAUACUUGCAUCUCUGCGGACUAACUAACUAAACAUUCAUGUUCAUAAGCUGUUACUGGUUCCCCCCCCCCCCCCUCACAUCAAUUGGGGUGAAAUGGAGCUCCACCAAACCUCAGAAAUUCGAAGAUGUUCUCAUCUGUGAUACUGUGAAUAAUUCUUCAUUAGUGACGAAUCCAUAGAGUUGAGGAUUCUCCAGUAGUACCGCUGAACUGCCCGUGGUAGAGCUUCACUUGAUGACCGGCCUGACCUCCUUGAAUAGCCUAACACACCCCCCAAAGUCCACCCUUCCACGAAUUCUGCCUUAUAAGUGAAACCGUCGUGAAUUGACUAUGCUCGCACCUAACGCAAAAAAUGGGAAGGAAUUAAAAUGCAUGAUACCAAGUUGCCUUACAUUUGAUAUCUUAGCAGCUACUUCACAAUACUCUCUACGUAGGAUAGUGCAAGGUCUGAAAUACAUUUUAACAAACUACCUCAACGAAGCUUGAAAGAUCAUCACUCAAAACAGUUGCAUAGGUCAGUCGUCUACUCAAAAUUUGCAGCUUGAGCUCCAUAUAAAGCAAGUUUCCAUGAUGCUCACCCAAACAUUGUGAUUAGCCAUCCAGCUAUCAAAUCAGUACUGAAAGCUCCAUAUCAAACACACUCAGCAUUCGAAUAUCAACUGCCACAAGUUGCACUAUAAUUAAUACUUCAUGUGAAACGAAGCCUCUCUAGGAAGUGAGAUCCAUGGAAUAACCAAUAGUAUUCUGAAAUGAUAGAAGAAUUCUCAAAUACGAGUAUGGCUUUAAGUGCAAACAAGAUUGUGGAAAUUCAAAAUUUCCGAUGGUCAAGAAAAAUGCCUCCAAAAGGUUAUUUACGUCUUGAGGUACUUCUUCCCGUAUAUUACA